UACGGGGGGGAGCAAGCGUUGUUCGGAUUUACUGGGCGUAAAGGGCGCGUAGGCGGUCAGCACAAGUCAGUUGUGAAAUCUCCGGGCUUAACUCGGAAAGGUCAACUGAUACUGUGCGACUAGAGUGCAGAAGGGGCAACUGGAAUUCUCGGUGUAGCGGUGAAAUGCGUAGAUAUCAGAGGAACACCUGCGGCGAAGGCGGGUUGCUGGGCUGACACUGACGCUGAGUGCGAGAACCGGUAGGGCGAACGGGAUUAGAACCGUACCGUCG
rnacentral:rRNA from 1 species